UACAGAGGAGCCAAGCGUUGUCCGGAUUGACUGGGCGUAAAGCGCACGCAGGCGGCACCGCGCGUGGGGUGUGAAAUCUGGCCGCUUAACGGCCAGGCGCCAUCCCAUACGGCGGAGCUGGAGUGAUGCAGAGGUCGGUGGAAUUGCCGGUGUAGUGGUGAAAUGCGCAGAUAUCAGGAAGAACACCCGUGGCUAAGGCGGCUCUCUAGUACGGUACUGACGCUGAGACGCGAAAGCGUGGGGAGCGAACAGG
rnacentral:rRNA from 1 species